GACGAACGCUGGCGGCGUGCUUAACACAUGCAAGUCGAACGGAAAGGCCCUGCUUUUGUGGGGUGCUCGAGUGGCGAACGGGUGAGUAACACGUGAGUAACCUGCCCUUGACUUUGGGAUAACUUCAGGAAACUGGGGCUAAUACCGUAUAGGAGCUCCUGCUGCAUGGUGGGGGUUGGAAAGUUUCGGCGGUUGGGGAUGGACUCGCGGCUUAUCAGCUUGUUGGUGGGGUAGUGGCUUACCAAGGCUUUGACGGGUAGCCGGCCUGAGGGGGUGGACGGCCACAAUGGGACUGAGGUACGGCGCAGACUCCUACGGGAGGCAGCAGUGGGGAAUAUUGCACAGUGAGCGGAAGCCUGAUGCAGCGACGCCGCGUGCGGGAUGACGGCCUUCGGGUUGUGAACCGCUUUCGCCUGUGACGAAGCGUGAGUGACGGUAAUGGAUAAAGAAGCACCGGCUAACUACGUG
rnacentral:rRNA from 1 species